ACGGUUGCUCAGUCCCUUUGCGUGGGCCGGAGAUGCCCUUAGCUCGCCGAACAACCCCCUCACACACCCCGCCGUUUGCCGCGCCGCUGGCUACCCACUCUGAUUCACAUGCGCGCGACCGCCGGGAUCCCCGCAUCAAAUCCUCAUCUUCGCCGCUGCUCCUGGACACCCCGCUGCUCGCCGCGCCGCUGGCUACCCACUCUGAUUCACAUGCGUGCGACCGACGAUCCCCGCAUCAAAUCCUCAUCUUCGCCGCAGACGGGCCGACGGCGGACGCUAGAGACCACAAGGUAUCCCAAGCAGAUUCCCCCGCCCCCAAGAGCUUCCCGUCGUUACUUCCAAGAGAUCCCCACAGCUGACUCCCCGCCGGCAGCCCGAUGUAAUAGGUGGGCUGCGGUGGUUAACCUCUCCCUCACCAGACUCCAUCCAGCCUAAAUGGCCUUCCGCGACAAGGUCCCUUGCAGAUUCUUCGCGGGCGCCGCCAUCCUCCCAUGGAGAUCGAGACGGGCCAUGUUCUCGGGGGAAGGGAUACGUGAAUGAGGACGGGGGAUCGACAGGGGAAUAUAGGACCAUGUCGGUGGCGGUCGCUCACGGCUAGGCGGAGAUGUGCGGCAUGGCUUGAGAGGCGGGCGGGCGGGACGUCGAUGGACAUUAGAGCACGCGCCGGAGCAGAAGCUAGCAGCGGCGGCGGCAGUGAAGCUUGCGUCAUUGCGUGUGUGGUGAGCAAAGGGAGGGGAUAAGUUUGGGCUGUUGGGUGCGUAGCUUGCUGGCCUGGCCCAUGGAUCAGUUCGGCUGGACCUAGCUUGGCAGAUGGGCCAAACGGGUAUGAGUACCCUAUGUGAUGGGCUAUACGAUAAAUGACAGCUGCGUGAAAUAAGACCUGCUUGGUAUCA